GACGAACGCUGGCGGCGUGCCUAAUACAUGCAAGUAGAACGCUGAAGAGAGGAGCUUACUCUUCUUGGAUGAGUUGCGAACGGGUGAGUAACGCGUAGGUAACCUGCCUUGUAGCGGGGGAUAACUAUUGGAAACGAUAGCUAAUACCGCAUAACAAUGGAUGACACAUGUCAUUUAUUUGAAAGGGGCAAUUGCUCCACUACAAGAUGGACCUGCGUUGUAUUAGCUAGUAGGUGAGGUAAUGGCUCACCUAGGCGGCGAUACAUAGCCGACCUGAGAGGGUGAUCGGCCACACUGGGACUGAGACACGGCCCAGACUCCUACGGGAGGCAGCAGUAGGGAAUCUUCGGCAAUGGGGGCAACCCUGACCGAGCAACGCCGCGUGAGUGAAGAAGGUUUUCGGAUCGUAAAGCUCUGUUGUAAGUCAAGAACGGGUGUGAGAGUGGAAAGUUCACACUGUGACGGUAGCUUACCAGAAAGGGACGGCUAACUACGUG
rnacentral:rRNA from 1 species